rnacentral:lncRNA from 10 species
GAUGGAGGGUAGGAGAGCCUUGAGCCUGCGAGAAGAGUCUCUUAGAAUAGAGAAGCUGAAGUUAAAGUUGUGGAAGAGAGUGGGGAUAACUGAGUGACAGAUAAUCAGGAGAAGAAAAGGAGAUCCAGACUCAUGACAGAGAGAUGACCUUUGCCAAGAGCACAGCCGUCUUUCACGGUCACAGAGAGGUAGGACAAAAUGAGUGGUGUUCAAGAAUUGGUUUGUAGCACAAUAUUUCAACUAUGUCCUUUAAAAAGUUUCUCCACAGACACUACCCAAAGCAGUGCUUCACUACAGUGGCAGACAGACCUGAAAAUUUUCAUCUGAAGCAGCAGAGUGAACUGCAGAGGCAGGUCACCAACCAGUGUGGAGGCUAAAAGCGGGCCUCUUUGGGGAUUCCAGGUGGAAGUGUUGGACAUCUGUAGUAUUCCUGGUCUCGAAUCAUCCUGAUAUUCUUCAUUUUGUUAUUCACAUUGGACUAGGAGAUAGAAUCUCACUAUGUUGACCAGGCUGGUCUUGAACUCUUGGCACCCAAGCGAUCCUUUUGCCUGGAAUCCCAAAGUGUCAGAUUUACUGAAGAAUAUUUCAUUGUAAUUACUUUUUAUACUUUAUAGGUCAAGAGCUCUGUUUUAAAUACAAAAUUUAUUGAAUAUACUUUUUCAAACAAAGUUUCAUGUUCUAAUCAUUGUCUGAUUUCAGCAUUAAAUGAAACACAGUAAAGAAA